GACAGAGGGUGCAAACGUUGCUCGGAAUCACUGGGCGUAAAGGGCGCGUAGGCGGUUCGUACAGUCAGACGUGAAAUUCCUGGGCUCAACCUGGGGGCUGCGUUUGAUACGUGCGGACUUGAGUGCGGAAGAGGGUCGUGGAAUUCCCAGUGUAGAGGUGAAAUUCGUAGAUAUUGGGAAGAACACCGGUGGCGAAGGCGGCGACCUGGUCCGAGACUGACGCUGAGGCGCGAAAGCGUGGGGAGCAAACAGG
rnacentral:rRNA from 1 species